GCCCGUCGACCUGGAACUUAUCAAUUAUUGUUAAUAUUAAUUAUUUGGAAAACAAAAGGUCCUGGCUAUCCAGGAAUGGAGUAUUUUUUAAUCAACAGCAUUGUCCUAUAUUAGUUAUCUUAGAAAGUCUUGCUGAUUGCUGAAUAAAACUACAAUAGGGAACAAUUUGACAAUGAUUGAAUUUAGUAGUGUCAGCCCUUUGAUUAUGACCCGUGUAUAUAGCAAAAUCCUAAAUACACCGUUUGGUGGUGCGCCUGUAAAAUGCGGAACGUACAGAUAAGGUAAUAGGUAACAGGUGAAUAUACUAUUGGUAUCGGUAUCGGAUUCAACCCGGAACUUGUUAAUUAUUGGCAAUAUUAAUUAUGUGGAAAACAAAAGGGUCUGGAGUGGUGUAAUUUUUAAUCUACACUAUUGUCCUAUAUUAGCUAUAUAUAGAGUUGAAUUCUUUGAUUUGUCGUUUUUACCCGAUGACGGCUGACAAAUUUGACCUCGUUAUUUUAGUAUUA
rnacentral:lncRNA from 1 species